rnacentral:lncRNA from 1 species
GAACUCCAAGGUGUGGUGAAGAUUAACAAAAGUUUGAAGAAAUAAGUGGAUGAGUUGCAGCACAUCUCUGUUCGUCUGCUCAAGGAGAACGAGCAGCUGAAAUGUGAGAAGUUGGGCUUGAGGCUUCGUUUGUUUAGAGUUAGGCCGAUUUCUACAAGUUGAGUUAUAUAGAUUAUCUCUUUGGUAGGUCAUCUAACUUCGAGUUUGCUAGGAAAACUUCGAAACCUUCUCUAUUUCCCUGGAAGGCUUGCCUUUACUUUUGAGGCCUCCAUUAGUGAAGUAGUCGGAAAGGUUGAUGCCCAAGCUAGAGAAGCUGGGGGUGAGGCGACGAAUGAUGUCGAUGCUGGGAGCGUUGCAGCUACUGAAGGUGUGACGGCCGAGUAGUCGUGAGAUGUCCAAGCUGCUGAAGGGUAGUUUUCUAGGUAACCUUUAGGAUUUUCUUUGUUUGCCUUGUUGCUUUUGUUUUGAUUGAACUUAUUUGGCCUUUGUUAGUCGUUUAUCAAUUUUGCUAGAAAAUUUAAUAAACUUGCUUCCUUCGCUUUUCUCCAUCUUCACUUCUUUAGUUCAUGCCUUAACCCUAGACUUUAUAGACCAGUGGCAAGCGUGCUGCUUUUCUAUAAGCAGACAUGCCCGCAUAGCCUAUGCAGUCGUAGGUUUGGUGUAGAAUUUUGCAAAGUUGUUAGCCAUAGGGUCGGUAGCCGGACGCCUUACUUACAGAAACAGACAAGGCAUCAUGACCACUAGGCUAUUAUCCUUGGCUUUCUCCAAUUCCGUAGGUUGGGUAACAAGUAUCAUGACACUUUAGGACUUG